CAGGAAUACAUCCCAGCCCAGCUGUAUGGAACUAUGGCUGGCUCAGCUUGGCUCAACCUGAUUGGCCAGCACAGGCAGCAGACCCAGGCGCUCAGCCCCCACCAGGCCCGUGCCCAGUUCCUGGAGCUGCAGCAACAUUGCUGUGCCAGCCCCCUGCAUCCUAGCUGUCAACCACAAUGGCCUCAACUUCCUCAGCACCGAGACCCAUGAGCUGAUUGUGAAGUUCCCUCUGAAGGAGAUCCAGUCUACACGGACCCAGCGGCCCACAGCCAACUCUAGCUAUCCCUAUGUAGAGAUCGUGCUGGGAGAUGUGGUGGCCCAGCGCAUCAUGCAGCUGCAGCUGGAGCAGGGUCUGGAGCUGUGUCGUGUGGUGGCUGUGCAUGUGGAGAACCUGCUCAGUGCCCGGGAGAAACGGCUCACACUGCCCCCCAGUGAGAUUACCCUGCUCUGACAUGGCCUCUAGCCCUCCAGGUACCUUCUGCUAGAAGACUCUGUGUGGCCUUAGGGAAGCCACUGGACCUCUUUGAACUGGUGACUCCCGGAAGGGGCCAGAACCUUGAAGGAAAGCACAGGAGGAAGGAAGAGCAACCCACAAACCCAAGAGAACUGAUCCAGAGUUGGGUUAGAGUAACAGCAUGCAGAUAGGAGAAACUCUCAAAGGCUGGCCCACAGUACAGGAACUCAUAGGCCUCCUGCUGGGUGCCUGCCACAGACCCUGCUUCUGAUGCCCCUAAGGCAGGGAAGCCCCACAACCCUGCAUGUGGUUUACUCAGGGCCUGAUGUUUGAAUCUACACCAGCGUCACCUCCCAGCCCCCCAAUGUCUUCCUCAGGUGUGUUGAACCUUGUGCUGCCUCUCAACCUAGACCUGUGACCCUUGGUAAUUUCUGUUCCUGGUAGCCACUUCCUCCAUGAUGUUGCUAAGUGGCCAGACAACAAGCCAAGGUAGGAGGCAGGAAUUGGAAGCAGAGCUGUGCCCUACUCACUAUGAUCAGCACUUCAAGAGAGACAUCUACCUUUGUUCUCCCUGUAAUGUCUGUCCCUCUACUCUGCACUCCUUGGGUAGCCCCAGCCCCAUGCCCCCACCACUGGAUGAGCCACACAAGGUUCAAGAGUGGUAAUAAGGAAAAAGAGAAGUUUGGAAAAGAACUUCCCAGAGAUGAUACACUAGGGUUGAGUUUUGAAGGAUGCCUAGGAGUGUCUUAAGAAUAGAUGGAAAGAGGGCCAGAGAUUUAGCUCAGUGGUGCUGCUGCCUGCCUUGCAAGCGCAAGUCCCCAAGUUCAAUCCCUGGUACCAAACAAAACAAAACAAAAACAAAAUAGAUAG
rnacentral:lncRNA from 1 species